AUGCACAUCCUCAUGCAGGAUGCAUCACCAUGCAGUGCAUCCCUAUAUGCACUCCCCAUGCACUCCCGUGCAGAGUGCAUCCCCGUGCAGGGCGUAUCUCUGUGCGUGCUCCCCAUGCAGGUUACACCCCCCUGUAAGGGUGCACCCACACGCACGGUGCAUUCCUGUACGUGCUCCCGUGCAUCCCCAGGCAGGGUGCAUGCACCUGUGCAGGGUGUAUCUCCAUGCAUGCCCCCUGUGCACUCCUGUGCAGGGUGCAUCCCCGUGCAUCCCCUUACAGGAUCCAUCUCCUUGCAGGGUGCAUCCCUAUGCAGGGCACAUCCCCACACAUCCCCGUGCAGGGUGCAUCCCAUGUGGGGAGAAUCCCCAUGCAUCCCUUUACAGGGUGCAAUCCCGUGCAGGGUGCAUCCCCAUGCAUCCCCUUACAGGAUCCAUCUCCUUGCAGGGUGCAUCCCUUUACAAGACGCAUCCCAUGCGGGGAGAAUCCCCAUGCAUCCCCCUACAGGGUGCAAUGCCUUGCAGGGUUCAUCCCCUUACAAGAUGCAUCCUGUGCAGGGUGCAUCCCCGUGCAUCCCGUUACAGGACCCAUCUCCUUGCAGGGUGCAUCCCAGCGCAGGGACAGCCCCAUGCAUCCCCUUGCAGGACCCAUCCCCUUGCACGAUGCACCCCGUGCAAGGCGCCCCUCCCGCCCCGCUCCCCGCGCAGCCCCGCCCCCUGGCAGCGCGGUGCAUGCCGGGAGCUGUAGUCGCGGCGGGCAGCGGACUCGCUUUCCCGGCGUGCCCCGCGGCGCGGCGGGCAGGGGUCGGGGUACGGGUGCGCGUGCGGGCCGCUCCCCGCCGCUCCGCGCCCCCGGCCGGCCCCGCCGCCGCCAUGGGCUCCCUGCUCAGCCGGCGCAUCGCGGGCGUGGAGGACAUCGACAUCCAGGCCAACUCGGCCUACCGCUACCCGCCCAAGUCCGGACGGCUGCUCGCUGCCCAGUGCCCGUGUUGGUGUUGUGCUGCAGGCAUCCCAGGCAGGCUCAGGGAGCUGCAGAGCGCCAGCCCGAGCUCCUUUCCUCCAUCCCUCUCGGGCAGGUGCGGUGUAGCCCCGCUCAGAGGCUCAGUACUUUAUGGCUGUGAGAUCGGGGCCGUGCGAUGAGGGGAGCCCGGUUCCCCCUUCCCGUUGGGAGGAGGGGGAAAAUCUUCUCGAGCAGAGCCCCGACAUCCCCGUGCCUUGCCUUGUCGCAGGUUUGCAGGCAGGGAAAGGCCCUGAGCUGCCAGCUGGGCUCUGUCUGCUGUGUCCUGGGCCCUGCUAGCGAGUCCCUGACACACACUGCUUGCACCUGACUUGUGGUGACACUUGGGAAGGAUGUUAGAUGCAGGCUGGAUUAAUUAUUGCUACCGUGCACGAUGAACAUUAAACUGCUUCUUUGAAAUCCUCAUCCUGGUGUUUCUGUGCUGUUGUAAUUA
rnacentral:lncRNA from 1 species